rnacentral:rRNA from 1 species
UAUGACAACUCUGAGCAGUGGAUCACUCGGCUCACGGGUCGAUGAAGAACGCAGCUUGCUGCGAUAAUUGGUGUGAAUUGCAGGACACAUUGAACACCGAACUUUCGAACGCGCAUAGCGGCCUCCGGUCUUCCGGGACUGGAGGCCUCGCCUGUUUGAGGGUCGUAUGAAGCCCAGACUCUAAGAGUAAAUUGGCAGCGUCGGGUGCGAACCCGUCGGCUCAAUUGCGAAAGGAAUUCUCCCGAGCCGCGGGAGCAGCCUCGAGUGUCCCGUGUCCGGGGGAGCCUUUCCCCCGCAGGGCCACUCUCCGGUUCGUCCGGCUGCUCGCUUGAGGCGUUCCCCAAUAAUCGGGAGGAGGUACCUUAAAGACUUAUAAAAUUUAGAAACGACCUCAGAUAGACGAGACUACCCGCUGAAUUUAAGCAUAUUAUUAAGCGGAGGGAAAGAAAACAACAGUGAUUCCCCUAGUAGCGGCGAGCGAACAGGGAGGAGCCCAGCGCCGAAUCCUUGCCUCGAGCAGGGAAAUGUGCCGUUUGGGCGAGUCGGGAGUGUGGACCUAGAGUGCGCGGGAAGUCUCCACGAUCGGGGCAUUUUCCUGAGAGGGUGUGAGGCCCGUUCUCGCGCGCCGUGGUUCCCUCUCGGUUCGCCCGCGAGUCGGGUUGCUUGGGAGUGCAGCCCUAAGACGGGUGGUAAACUCCACCCAAGGCUAAAUACGACCGUGAGACCGAUAGCAAACAAGUACCGUGAGGGAAAGUUGAAAAGAACUUUGAAGAGAGAGUUCAAUAGAACGUGAAACUGCUCAGAGGGAAACGGGUAGGCUCUCGAAGUCCAGUGUCGGGGGCGUUCAGGCCCGGUGUCGUCUGCUUCCGCCGAAGCGAGUGAAGGAGCGCCCCUCACGUGGGGGCGCCGUCCGCGCCCAGGAUGCGGUUCGGCCCGGGUGCACUCGUCCCCUUCCAGAGGACGCCGCACCCCGUUCGUUUUUGUGGGCCGUGAGGGCGGAUACUCGUAUGUGGACUCCGACUUUUUUGGAUAUUCCGAUCUCUUCCGCCCGGGUCUGCAGCGGACGGUGGCUUCCGACACGUCGCCUCCUAAUUUGUACUUUUGGCGGUGCCGGUGGGUUCUCGGGUAGCCGUGCGCACGCUCUCUGGGCGUGGCCGGUGGCCCUCGUCCGCGCCGCUUUUGUUUUUUUCCCUUUGGAGGCCGACGGUGUUGCGGCGCAGUAGGUCGGUGCCCCACCCGACCAGUCUUGAAACACGGAUCAAGGAGUCUAACAUGUGUGCGAGUCACUGGGUCUCGCAGAAGCCCACGGGUGCAAACAAAUUGAUUAUUUCUUCGUAGUCGGGAUCCCCCGCUUUCAUGCGAGGGGCGCACCGACGGCCUGCCACACUCUCCGGAGUCGAGGCGGAGCCUGAGCACACACGUUGGGACCCGAAAGAUGGUGAACUAUGCCUAGACAGGACGAAGACAGGGGAAACCCUGUUGGAAGUCCGAAGCGGUUCUGACGUGCAAAUCGAUCGUCUGAUCCGCGUAUAGGGGAGAAAGACUAAUCAAACCAUCUAGUAGCUGGUUCCCUCCGAAGUUUCCCUCAGGAUAGCUGGCACUGC